rnacentral:rRNA from 1 species
AAUAGCUCACUGGUCGAGUCGGCCUGCGCGGAAGAUGUAACGGGGCUAAACCAUGCACCGAAGCUGCGGCAGCGACACUAUGUGUUGUUGGGUAGGGGAGCGUUCUGUAAGCCUGUGAAGGUGUGCUGUGAGGCAUGCUGGAGGUAUCAGAAGUGCGAAUGCUGACAUAAGUAACGAUAAAGCGGGUGAAAAGCCCGCUCGCCGGAAGACCAAGGGUUCCUGUCCAACGUUAAUCGGGGCAGGGUGAGUCGACCCCUAAGGC